rnacentral:rRNA from 1 species
CAGCAGCCGCGGGAAUACGUAGGGGGCAAGCGUUAUCCGGAAUUACUGGGUGUAAAGGGAGCGUAGACGGUUAAACAAGUCUGAAGUGAAAUGCCGGGGCUCAACCCCGGAGCUGCUUUGGGAACUGUAGAACUGGAGUGUCGGAGGGGUAAGCGGAAUUCCCAGUGUAGCGGUGAAAUGCGUAGAUAUUGGGAGGAACACCGGCGGCGAAGGCGGCUUACUGGACGACAACUGACGUUGAGGCUCGAAGGCGUGGGUAGCAAACUGGAUUAGAGACCCGCGUAGUCCCUGUCUCUUAUAC